rnacentral:rRNA from 1 species
CGGACGGGUGAGUAAUGUCUGGGAAACUGCCUGAUGGAGGGGGAUAACUACUGGAAACGGUAGCUAAUACCGCAUAACGUCGCAAGACCAAAGCGGGGGACCUCCGGGCCUCGCGCCAUCAGAUGAACCCAUAUGGGAUUAGCUAGUAGGUAAGGUAACGGCUUACCUAGGCGACGAUCCCUAGCUGGUCUGAGAGGAUGAUCAGCCACACUGGGACUGAGACACGGCCCAG